AAGAUGUUAGUAAAUUAUUACAUAAUCUUGUCAAGAUUAAAUAACGAGUGAAAACCUCGUACAUCUUU
rnacentral:tRNA from 1 species